AACACAAUAUUCUUUUUAUUUGAACUUAGCCUUUUCCAAGUUUGCCAUUCUUUUAGAUUAGUCUGCUGACUCUGCUGGGUUAUAUGAUGUGUUAUCUUGGUUUUUCUCCUCCACAACUUUAAAUACUCAUUCUUGAAGUGCUUAGUCUUUUAAAGAACCAUUUAUAUAGUUUAGUGAUGGUUGAGUUUUGUUUUUAUUUAUAUAUAGUUAUUACUUCUUGUUAUUAUUUCACAGUAGUGCUUGUUCACAUGCUCCCAAGUGUAAAUGUAUAUGUUGAAUCUUGUUUGGAGUUAUCUUAUACUAUCAUAAACAGUUAAUUUCAAGGUAAAUGUGGUAUGAUGAUAUUCUUGAAUGCGGGAUGGGCUUCUGGCUCUUAUUUUUAUCACCUGGGAGAGGUAGAUCUUACAAAUGAUUUGGAGGAAAUCUUUUACUAUUGCCAGCCAAGAGCCUUGUGGCUCAACUAGCACCUCUUGGUGUUUCCAACGGAGACAUCUAGGGUUCAAAUCCCCCCACCCGCAACUAUUGACGUAUCAAAAAAUAAUAUAUUACUACUGACAUGUUUACUCCUAUAAGAUAUAAUAGGAUUUGCAAUUUGCCAAAAGAGAAAGGUAUUUUCAUUGAUUUGGAUAGGAUCUAUGUUUUGGUUUGAGUAUGAUAUCAGGUCCAAAGAGUCAAUCUGACCCUGUCAUCUUUAUAAAUGUGACAGAAAACAUAUACCCUGUUGUUCUGAAUUGAAAAAAUCUUUAUAUUAAUUCAUUUUCAGUAAAAUGGUUGCAUAUUUCUGUGUAACAAGCGCAGGUUCGAAUGUCAGUUGGAUGUUUACUAAUGAAACUAGUAUGAUGCUUCAACUUUUGCUACAUUGCAUUUCAAUAUGCAGAUGAGAGGUUUAAAUAUAGUGAUGGCUCAUGUAGAUAUUUCUACGGAGCCCUUUUGUAACAUAUUUGAGAUGUAUAGAAACAUAACUUAACAAUAAAAAAAUAUUCAACCAUAAUUUAUUUAGAAUUGCUUGUGACUAAAUAAAUUAGUAAUGUUAUUAAUCUAGCAUGUGGAGGGUCCACUUUGUGGUAUAAUAGUAAAAGCCUCAAGCUAUCAACUAUCAAGUAUCAAGUGCUGAAGUGCACAUAAUUGAUUACUGGGAGUGGUCACUUCAACCAGCAUUACUGAAAGGAUAGCACUGUAUUCUGAAUAACCCUCCCUUGACGCCACCUUGAUGGGGACCAAGACCAACUCUGGGGUCAUUUUUACUCCUCAAGUUCUCUGUAUAUUAGCGCUGGAUGGUUUCACUGUAUUUUAUGGGUGGGCCAAAGUUAUUCUGGUGUGUGUUAGGCUUGCAUUAGAGGGGAGAGUGAAUGUCUUAUGUAUGCUUCAAAAUAUAUAAGAAAAUAACAAAAGAAAAAUAAAAGUUGAAAAAAUUGAGGAAAAAAUCUCAAAAAGUAUAUGAAAAAAAGUAGAAGGAAUGGGAGAAAAUGUUGAAGGAGAAAAAAAGAGAAGGAAAAGAAUGUGAGGCAAGAAAAAAGAUGGAAGGAGAAAAAAAAAAAGGAAAAGAAUGUGAGGCAAGAAAAAAGAUGGAAGGAAAAGAAAGAAAAUAAAAGAAAAGGUGAAAUAAUGAAAAAAGUAUUAGUGAAGGUUCUAUAUGAGCGGAAUUCAUUUAGAAGGGAAGAAUUGGGUUGGAAGUAUUUGAUCUUUUCCCUGUGAAAGCUGGAAUGAAGAAAGUAGAUGAAUGAAUUAAAGAAGCUUCAACUUCAAACCACAAGGGGGCAUCUUUUAAUUCUUUGGAAGAGUGAAGGCAACUCACAAGGGGCAUGCAGUCGUAGUUGCAGAGCCUUUACUGCUGCUGGUACUGAUGGUCUGUGGUGCCUCAUAAAUGUGUCAUUUGGAGAUAGCGUGAGGGAAAACUUUAUUCCUUGAAAUUGCGUUCAACUUAGAUAGGAUGACUAUGCUUAUUUUGCAAUAGUUUUGGCUGCCUAGCAUUUUGGAUAAACAUGUUUACAUGUUCAUACUUGUUUCAAGGUGGCAACUGAAUAGCAUGUCUAGGUAACGAGAUGUAAUUCUUAUUAUGUAUUUAGUUAUUCUUAUGGAUGGAAGAAUGUUUUCUUAUUGUUUAGAGUGAAAUUGAUGGCAAACCAGUUUCUUUGUGGAAUGGAAAGUUAAACGUGUUUCUGAGAUUAUUGCGAGAAAAGUGGCAAGUAAGAAACAAUAAAAGGCUUCUUUGGAGACUGAAAGGAUCCGACUGACUGUGGACUUCGACUUCUGAAGAAACUUGAGGGAAAUAGCACAUCUUUGUAGAGGGAGUUUCCCAGAAAAGAGAGAUCAGGAGAAGUGGGUUCUUAAAUCAAAGUGACCAGGGUUGGCUUUCAGGGGCUUAGGAACUUGAUUGUGGUGGAGUGAAGGCCUCUUCGAAUGGAGUUCUCAGGGAUUUUCUCUAUGGAAUGCAUGCUACUUUCGAAGUCAAAUCAAUCUCUGUUGUUGCACCACUUCUGUCUUCUUCAAGGCAGUAGUGUCUAGUCGUAGUAGGUAGCCGUGGGUGGGCAGUGUGAUAGUCAGGGAGUUAAGGGUAAGCUCAUCUUCGGAUAGCAGUGUGUGAGACAUAGGCGGUCUUUUGCUUCUGUAAUAGUAUCUGCACUUGUUCUUUCUUCCCCUGCCUUUAGUUGGGCAGUGCACUAACAUAAGCAUUUGGGAGAAUGGUUUGAGGGUUAAUUUGCAAUGAAGGUCUGAAUUGGGUGGUUUGGUCACAUCUAUAGAUCGUAUGAUGUUUGUGAGUGAUCAUGAGUUGGUGUUGGAAAGGGGGAGACAUAUAAUACAACCAAAUUGUUAUGGGCUGAACUUGCAGGCAUGGGUCUCGGCUGCCUACUGGGAAGCCUUUGGGAGAACUAUUGUUUAUUAAUUUGGAAACAGCUUCAAGAGUGGCAAACAUUCAGUUGAAUGUUGAAAUGUUUACUCGUUAAUAUCUUGGAAAAUAAGAGGUGUAAAGGUCUUAAUUGCUUUCUCUUUGUAAUGAGGGUUCACAGAAAUAGUUGUGAAUUUGUAAACGAGGCCUGUUCUGCCAAUAAUUUUAGAGCUUUUGUGGCCUAAAACCUUGAUUUUGAUUUUUUUUGGGGUAUUUAGAGCAGUUGAUUAGCAGU